rnacentral:tRNA from 1 species
GGCAUCAUGGCUGAGUUGUAAAGCGCUUGGCUUCCGAACCAAGCGGUCUCGGAUUCAAAUCUCAGUGAAGACU